CGACCCCAGGUCAGGCGGGAUUACCCACUGAGUUUAAGCAUAUCAAUAAGCGGAGGAAAAGAAGCUUACCAAGAUUCCCCUAGUAACACCGAGCAAACCGGGAAUAGCCCAGCUUGAGAAUUGGGCGCCCUCGACAUUCGAAUUGUAGUCUGGAGAACCGUCCUCAGCGGCGGACUGGGCCCAAGUCCCCUGGAAGGGGGCGCCAUAGAGGGUGAAAGCCUCGUCGUGCCUGGACCCUAUCACACCACAAGGCGCUGUCUACGAGUUGGGUUGUUUGGGAAUGCAGCCCAAAUCGGGCGGUAAAUUCCGUCCAAGGCUAAAUACGGGCGAGAUAUCGAUAGCGAAUAAGUACCGCGAAGGAAAGAUGAAAAGGACUUUGAAAAGAGAGUCAAAGAGUGCUUGAAAUUUUCGGGAGGGAAGCAGAUAGGGGUCGGCGAUGUGCCCCGGUCGGAUGUGGAACGGCCAAAAGCCGGUCCGCCGAUCGGCUUAGGGUGCUGACCGAUGCAGAUUGCAGCGGCGGCCCAAGCCCAGGCUUUUGAUACGCCUGCGGAGAUGCCGUCGCAUCGAUUGUGGACUGCAGUGCACACCGUCACGGCGUGCUUCGACACCUGCGCGCUUCAGGAGUUGGCCAGCGGGCUCCCCAUUUGACCCGUCUUGAAACACGGACCAAGGAGUCUGACAUGUGUGCGAGUUAACGGGCGAGUAAACCCGUAAGGCGUAAGGAAGCUGACUGGCGGGAUCCCAUCGUGGGUUGCAUGGCCGACCGACCUUGAUCUUCUGUGAAGGGUUCGAGUGAAAGCAUGCCUGUCAGGACCUAAAAGAUGGUGAACUAUGCCUAAGUGGGGCGAAGCUAGAGGAAACUCUGGUGGAGGCCCGCAACGAUAUUGACGUGCAAAUCGUUCGUCUGACUUGGGUAUAGGGGCGAAAGACUAAUCGAACCGUCUAGUAGCUGGUUCCCUCUGAAGUUUCCCUCAGGAUAGUUGGAGCUCGGGACGAGUUCUAUUGGGUAAAGCCAAUGAUUAGAGGCAUCGGGGGCGCAACGCCCUCGACCUAUUCUCAAACUUUAAAUAGGUAGGACGGCAUGGCUGCUUCGUUGAGCCGGGCCACGAAAUUGAGAGCUCCAAAUGGGCCAUUUAUGGUAAGCAGAACUGGCAAUGCGGGAUGAACCGGAAGCCGGGUUACAGUGCCCAACUGCGGGCUAACCUGGAACCCACAAAGGGUGUUGGUCAAUUAAGACAGCAGGACGGUGGUCAUGGAAGUCGAAAUCCGUUAAGGAGUGUGUAACAACUCACCUGCUGAAUCAACUAGCCCCAAAAAUGGAUGGCGCUUAAGCGCGCGACCUAUACCCGGCCGUCAGGGCAAGAGCCAGGGCCCGAUGAGUAGGAGGGCGCUGCGGUCGCUGCAAAAUCCAGGGCGCGAGCCCGGGCGGAGCGGCCGCCGAUGCAGAUCUUGGUGGUAGUAGCAAAUAUUCAAAUGAGAACUUUGAAGGCCGAAGAGGGGAAAGAUUCCGCAUAUGGGUUAGUCGAUCCUAAGAGACAGGGGAAGCCCAUCUGACAGCGCGUCCGCACGCGAACUUUAAAAGGGAAUCGGGUUAAAAUUCCCAAACCGGGACAUGGCGACUAACGACAACGUUAGGGAGUCCGGAGACGUCGGCGAGGGUAUUGGGAAGAGUUAUCUUUUCUAUUUAACAGCCCGCCCACCCUGGAAACGACUUAGUCGGAGGUAGGGUCCAACAGUUGGAAGAGCACCGUGACCCUCCAUAUCACACAAAAAUGGGUCCUCGAAGGAGGUUGGGAUUAUAUAUAUUGGAUAUGAAUCUCCAUCUAUAAUUAAAAAAUUUGAGCCAUCAUUGGAUGGUGUUUUAUUGUAAAAUUUAAUGAUUGUUAUUUUAAUGUGGCUUUGUUUCCUAAGU
rnacentral:ncRNA from 1 species